UACAGAGGUGGCAAGCGUUGUUCGGAAUGACUGGGCGUAAAGGGCGCGUAGGCGGCCGCUUGCGUCGGAUGUGAAAGCCCGGGGCUCAACCCCGGAACGGCAUCCGAUACGGGGCGGCUCGAGACCGAGAGAGGUGAGUGGAAUACCCAGUGUAGAGGUGAAAUUCGUAGAUAUUGGGUGGAACACCGGUGGCGAAAGCGGCUCACUGGCUCGGUUCUGACGCUGAGGCGCGAAAGCGUGGGGAGCAAACAGG
rnacentral:rRNA from 1 species